rnacentral:rRNA from 1 species
GAUGAACGCUGGCGGCGUGCCUAAUACAUGCAAGUCGAGCGAAUGGAUUAAGAGCUUGCUCUUAUGAAGUUAGCGGCGGACGGGUGAGUAACACGUGGGUAACCUGCCCAUAAGACUGGGAUAACUCCGGGAAACCGGGGCUAAUACCGGAUAACAUUUUGAACCGCAUGGCUCGAAAUUGAAAGGCGGCUUCGGCUGUCAUUUAUGGAUGGACCCGCGUCGCAUUAGCUAGUUGGUGAGGUAACUGCUCACCAAGGCAACGAUGCGUAGCCGACCUGAGAGGGUGAUCGGCCACACUGGGACUGAGACACGGCCCAGACUCCUACGGGAGGCAGCAGUAGGGAAUCUUCCGCAAUGGACGAAAGUCUGACGGAGCAACGCCGCGUGAGUGAUGAAGGCUUUCGGGUCGUAAAACUCUGUUGUUAGGGAAGAACAAGUGCUAGUUGAAUAAGCUGGCACCUUGACGGUACCUAACCAGAAAGCCACGGCUAACUACGUGCCAGCCGCCGCAGUAA